rnacentral:rRNA from 1 species
UACGUAGGGUGCAAGCGUUGUCCGGAAUCACUGGGCGUAAAGGGCGCGUAGGUGGCGACCCAAGUCGAUGGUGAAAGCUCGCCGCUCAACGGCGAGUCGGCCACUGAUACUGGGUUGCUGGAGCACUGUAGAGGCAGAUGGAAUUCCGGGUGUAGCGGUGGAAUGCGUAGAGAUCCGGAAGAACACCGGUGGCGAUGGCGGUCUGCUGGGCAGUUGCUGACACUGAGGCGCGACAGCGUGGGGAGCAAACAGG